rnacentral:rRNA from 1 species
CACGUAGGGCGCAAGCGUUGUCCGGAAUUAUUGGGCGUAAAGAGCUCGUAGGCGGCUAAGUAAGUCGGGUGUGAAAACUCCAGGCUCAACCUGGAGACGCCACCCGAUACUGCUUUGGCUAGAGUCCGGUAGGGGAGCAUGGAAUUCCUGGUGUAGCGGUGAAAUGCGCAGAUAUCAGGAGGAACACCAGUGGCGAAGGCGGUGCUCUGGGCCGGAACUGACGCUGAGGAGCGAAAGCGUGGGGAGCAAACAGG